rnacentral:rRNA from 1 species
AGAGUUUGAUUCUGGCUCAGAACGAACGCUGGCGGCGUGGAUAAGACAUGCAAGUCGAACGAGAGAAUUGCUAGCUUGCUAAUAAUUCUCUAGUGGCGCACGGGUGAGUAACACGUGAGUAACCUGCCCCCGAGAGCGGGAUAGCCCUGGGAAACUGGGAUUAAUACCGCAUAGUAUCGAAAGAUUAAAGCAGCAAUGCGCUUGGGGAUGGGCUCGCGGCCUAUUAGUUAGUUGGUGAGGUAACGGCUCACCAAGGCGAUGACGGGUAGCCGGUCUGAGAGGAUGUCCGGCCACACUGGAACUGAGACACGGUCCAGACACCUACGGGUGGCAGCAGUCGAGAAUCAUUCACAAUGGGGGAAACCCUGAUGGUGCGACGCCGCGUGGGGGAAUGAAGGUCUUCGGAUUGUAAACCCCUGUCAUGUGGGAGCAAAUUAAAAAGAUAGUACCACAAGAGGAAGAGACGGCUAACUCUGUGCCAGCAGCCGCGGUAAUACAGAGGUCUCAAGCGUUGUUCGGAAUCACUGGGCGUAAAGCGUGCGUAGGCUGUUUCGUAAGUCGUGUGUGAAAGGCGCGGGCUCAACCCGCGGACGGCACAUGAUACUGCGAGACUAGAGUAAUGGAGGGGGAACCGGAAUUCUCGGUGUAGCAGUGAAAUGCGUAGAUAUCGAGAGGAACACUCGUGGCGAAGGCGGGUUCCUGGACAUUAACUGACGCUGAGGCACGAAGGCCAGGGGAGCGAAAGGGAUUAGAUACCCCUGUAGUCCUGGCAGUAAACGGUGCACGCUUGGUGUGCGGGGAAUCGACCCCCUGCGUGCCGGAGCUAACGCGUUAAGCGUGCCGCCUGGGGAGUACGGUCGCAAGAUUAAAACUCAAAGAAAUUGACGGGGACCCGCACAAGCGGUGGAGUAUGUGGCUUAAUUCGAUGCAACGCGAAGAACCUUACCUGGGCUUGACAUGUAAUGAACAACAUGUGAAAGCAUGCGACUCUUCGGAGGCGUUACACAGGUGCUGCAUGGCCGUCGUCAGCUCGUGUCGUGAGAUGUUUGGUUAAGUCCAGCAACGAGCGCAACCCCUGUUGCCAGUUACCAGCACGUGAAGGUGGGGACUCUGGCGAGACUGCCCAGAUCAACUGGGAGGAAGGUGGGGACGACGUCAGGUCAGUAUGGCCCUUAUGCCCAGGGCUGCACACGUACUACAAUGCCCAGUACAGAGGGGGCCGAAGCCGCGAGGCGGAGGAAAUCCUAAAAACUGGGCCCAGUUCGGACUGUAGGCUGCAACCCGCCUACACGAAGCCGGAAUCGCUAGUAAUGGCGCAUCAGCUACGGCGCCGUGAAUACGUUCCCGGGUCUUGUACACACCGCCCGUCACAUCAUGGAAGCCGGUCGCACCCGAAGUAUCUGAAGCCAACCGCAAGGAGGCAGGGUCCUAAGGUGAGACUGGUAACUGGGAUGAAGUCGUAACAAGGUAGCCGUAGGGGAACCUGCGGCUGGAUCACCUCCUUUCU